UACGUAGGGGGCUAGCGUUGUCCGGAAUCAUUGGGCGUAAAGCGCACGUAGGCGGCUUUCUAAGUCGGGGGUGAAAUCCUGGAGCUCAACUCCAGAACUGCCUUCGAUACUGGAAAGCUCGAGUCCGGGAGAGGUGAGUGGAACUGCGAGUGUAGAGGUGAAAUUCGUAGAUAUUCGCAAGAACACCAGUGGCGAAGGCGGCUCACUGGCCCGGUACUGACGCUGAGGUGCGAAAGCGUGGGGAGCAAACAGG
rnacentral:rRNA from 1 species